rnacentral:rRNA from 2 species
CAUUGCGCUGUCUAUACAUGCAGUCGACGACUCUGGUAUUGAUUGGUGCUUGCAUCAUGAUUUACAUUUGAGUGAGUGGCGAACUGGUGAGUAACACGUGGGAAACCUGCCCAGAAGCGGGGGAUAACACCUGGAAACAGAUGCUAAUACCGCAUAACAACUUGGACCGCAUGGUCCGAGCUUGAAAGAUGGCUUCGGCUAUCACUUUUGGAUGGUCCCGCGGCGUAUUAGCUAGAUGGUGGGGUAACGGCUCACCAUGGCAAUGAUACGUAGCCGACCUGAGAGGGUAAUCGGCCACAUUGGGACUGAGACACGGCCCAAACUCCUACGGGAGGCAGCAGUAGGGAAUCUUCCACAAUGGACGAAAGUCUGAUGGAGCAACGCCGCGUGAGUGAAGAAGGGUUUCGGCUCGUAAAACUCUGUUGUUAAAGAAGAACAUAUCUGAGAGUAACUGUUCAGGUAUUGACGGUAUUUAACCAGAAAGCCACGGCUAACUACGUGCCAGCAGCCGCGGUAAUACGUAGGUGGCAAGCGUUGUCCGGAUUUAUUGGGCGUAAAGCGAGCGCAGGCGGUUUUUUAAGUCUGAUGUGAAAGCCUUCGGCUCAACCGAAGAAGUGCAUCGGAAACUGGGAAACUUGAGUGCAGAAGAGGACAGUGAACUCCAUGUGUAGCGGUGAAAUGCGUAGAUAUAUGGAAGAACACCAGUGGCGAAGGCGGCUGUCUGGUCUGUAACUGACGCUGAGGCUCGAAAGUAUGGGUAGCAAACAGGAUUAGAUACCUGGUAGUCCAUACCGUAAACGAUGAAUGCUAAGUGUUGGAGGGUUUCCGCCCUUCAGUGCUGCAGCUAACGCAUUAAGCAUUCCGCCUGGGGAGUACGGCCGCAAGGCUGAAACUCAAAGGAAUUGACGGGGGCCCGCACAAGCGGUGGAGCAUGUGGUUUAAUUCGAAGCUACGCGAAGAACCUUACCAGGUCUUGACAUACUAUGCAAAUCUAAGAGAUUAGACGUUCCCUUCGGGGACAUGGAUACAGGUGGUGCAUGGUUGUCGUCAGCUCGUGUCGUGAGAUGUUGGGUUAAGUCCCGCAACGAGCGCAACCCUUAUUAUCAGUUGCCAGCAUUAAGUUGGGCACUCUGGUGAGACUGCCGGUGACAAACCGGAGGAAGGUGGGGAUGACGUCAAAUCAUCAUGCCCCUUAUGACCUGGGCUACACACGUGCUACAAUGGAUGGUACAACGAGUUGCGAACUCGCGAGAGUAAGCUAAUCUCUUAAAGCCAUUCUCAGUUCGGAUUGUAGGCUGCAACUCGCCUACAUGAAGUCGGAAUCGCUAGUAAUCGCGGAUCAGCAUGCCGCGGUGAAUACGUUCCCGGGCCUUGUACACACCGCCCGUCACACCAUGAGAGUUUGUAACACCCAAAGUCGGUGGGGUAACCUUUUAGGAACCAGCCGCCUAAGGUGGGACAGAUGAUAGGGUGAAGUCGAAUAAAGUGAUGG